UAUAUAUUUAUAUACUGUAUAUGAAGUCCAUAUAACCAUAAGAAAUGCAAAAAUUCGCUGUUAAUAACACAUUCUCGAAUUGUCCUCUUUAAAAAUCAAAUUGCCCCUAUGUAGGGCGUGCACCCCACAUUGGGAACCACUGAUCCACAAGUCCAAGAAUUUAAACCAUUUGUUCAAAUGUAUUUGCAUUGCAACAGCAUGUCACAGACAAAUGAUGACAUUACAGAGAACAUUGUGUAAUGUAUCUUCCCAAAUUGAAAAUAUUUCAGUCUUGAUAGCUUGUCUAAGAUCAGGAAGUGUUCACAGAUUAUUCACAAACACUAUCUUUCAGAUAACUCCAAAGAAAAAUGUUGCAGGGAUUUUGAGGUGAUAGUAAUGGCUAUGCUAUAUCUUUACCACACACUUUGGAAUAACAAUUUAACAGUACAUGGUCAUCAAACAUCAUCUCUUGGUAUUCCAGGAUGAUUCCUGCCAUAUGACGCCUGAUGCCAUCCUGCUGGAACUAAUACAUAUCCAUACUGAUACUCAUAACAAACAAAAAGAGCACAAAUUAAUCCCUGAUAACAUCAGAUAUGCAUCACUUGUGAUGUUUCCAUUAAUAAACACUGGCUCAAAAAUUCCACAUGCAGACAUCAUCUACCAAGCAGUCACUCUGUUUGGUAGGUGAUGUCUGGUUUUGCAUGUAAAUGGUUAUUAAUAAUAAUAUGAGCUGUUUUUGUUGAAAGUGAUGUAAGUCCAUUUUAUAUUAUAUAGAGAUAUUUAAG
rnacentral:lncRNA from 1 species